rnacentral:misc_RNA from 1 species
GAUGAGAACGUAGCGAAAUGCGAUAAGUAAUGUGAAUUGCAGAAUUCAGUGAAUCAUCGAAUCUUUGAACGCACAUUGCGCCCGCCAGUAUUCUGGCGGGCAUGCCUGUCCGAGCGUCAUUUCAACCCUCGAACCCCUCCGGGGGGUCGGCGUUGGGGACCUCGGGAGCCCCUAAGACGGGAUCCCGGCCCCGAAAUACAGUGGCGGUCUCGCCGCAGCCUCUCCUGCGCAGUAGUUUGCACAACUCGCACCGGGAGCGCGGCGCGUCCACGUCCGUAAAACACCCAACUUCUGAAAUGUUGACCUCGGAUCAGGUAGGAAUACCCGCUGAACUUAAGCAUAUCAAUAAGCGGAGGA